rnacentral:rRNA from 1 species
AUUGAACGCUGGCGGCAGGCCUAACACAUGCAAGUCGAGCGGAGCGGCGGACGGGCGAGUAAUGCCUAGGAAUCUGCCUGGCAGUGGGGGAUAACUCCCGGAAACGGGCGCUAAUACCGCACACUAUCAGAUGAGUCUAGGUGGGAUUAGCUAGUUGGUGGGGGAAAGGCUUACCAAGGCGACGAUCCGUAACUGGCCUGAGAGGAUGAUCAGUAACACUGGAACUGAGACACGGUCCAGACUCCUACGGGAGGCAGCAGUGGGGAAUAUUGGACAAUGGGCGAAAGCCUGAUCCAGCCAUGCCGCGUGUGUGAAGAAGGUCUUCGGAUUGUAAAGCACUUUAAGUUGGGAGGCGUUACCAAUAGAAUAAGCACCGGCUAACUUCGUGCCAGCAGCCGCGGUAAUAC